UUCCAUCUGAUUUUUGGCGUUUGGAGAAAACAUCUUCCUUUGACGUCAGCUGAUAUCUCUUCAUAACCCAACAGCUCUUUUAAGAGCUAAAAAACUUGGACGCAAUGCCUUUCUGCGCCCCCUGGAGGAGGCCACAGGCCGAAUCCAGUACCCUCUCUGAGAUUUAUAAGCCUCCUGACGGUCGGCUGACCAAGGAUGUGCUUCUUGGAGUGGGCGGCACCGGAGACGUCUACAAGGUAAGGGACCAACCAAUUCCUAGAAAGUAGGAGAACUGAACAAGAGUGUGAUCACUACACACAAUCACACAAUGAUUUAGGCAG